rnacentral:rRNA from 1 species
AUUGAACGCUGGCGGCAGGCUUAACACAUGCAAGUCGAACGAGUGGCGGACGGGUGAGUAAUGCUUGGGAACCUAGCUUAUGGAGGGGGAUAACUACGGGAAACUGUAGCUAAUACCGCGUACCAUAGGAUGAGCCCAAGGGGGAUUAGGUAGUUGGUGAGGUAAAGGCUCACCAAGCCGACGAUCUCUCGCUGGUCUGAGAGGAUGACCAGCCACACUGGGACUGAGACACGGCCCAGACUCCUACGGGAGGCAGCAGUGGGGAAUAUGGCGCAAUGGGGGCAAGCUGAUGCAGCCAUGCCGCGUGAAUGAAGAAGGCCUUCGGGUUGUAAAGUUCUUUCGGUAGCGAGGCGUUAGCUACAGAAGAAGCACCGGCUAACUCCGUGCCAGCCGCCGCGGUAAUUC